GGGGAUGUAGCUUAGAGGUAGAACGCACGCUUUGCAUGAGUGAAGCCCCCGGUUCAAUCCCCGGCAUCUCCA
rnacentral:tRNA from 1 species